rnacentral:sRNA from 1 species
GCUGGGUGCAGUGGUGCACACCCGUAAUCCCAGCUUCUCAGAAGGCUGAGAUAGGAGAAUCACAAGUUGGAGCCAAGCCUGGGCAACUUUCUGAGAACCUGUCUCAA